GACACGCAGCCGCAAGGAGCUGGAGCAGCGGGAGGCGGCAUGGAGGCGCGAGGAGGAGGACCUGCUGCAGCUGGGAGGGGAGCUGGCCCGGACAUCACGAGCUGUCCAGGAGGCGGGCCUGGGACUGAGCACGGGCCUGUGGCUGGCAGAGAGCCGGGCCAAGGCAGCCCUGGAGAAGCAGGCCCUGCUGCAGGCCCAGCUGGAGGAGCAGCUGCGGGACAAGGUGCUCCACUAGAAGGACCUGGCCCAGCAGCAGAUGCAAAGUGACCUGGACAAGGCUGACCUCAGUGCCAGCUUCCCAAAGUGCUGGGAUUACAGGUGUGAGCCACCACGCCCGGCCACUAUUUGCAAAUAUUACCAUUUUGGAAAUAUUACCAAGAUGUUACCAUUGGAGGAAACGGAGUAAGGCGUACAAGGGACCUCUCUUUUUCUGAGUUAAGAUUGUAUGUGAAUUAUUAAAACGUAAAAAUUAACUUUAAGAAA
ensembl:lncRNA CROCCP3 CROCC pseudogene 3